rnacentral:rRNA from 1 species
GAUGAACGCUGGCGGUAUGCUUAACACAUGCAAGUCGAACGGUCUCUUCGGAGAUAGUGGCGGACGGGUGAGGAACACGUGAGAAACUGCCUUUAGGUCGGGGACAACAUUUGGAAACGAAUGCUAAUACCGGAUGAGCUGAAAAGUAAAAGAUUUAUCGCCUAAAGAGGAGCUCGCGUCUGAUUAGCUAGAUGGUGGGGUAAAAGCCUACCAUGGCGACGAUCAGUAGCUGGUCUGAGAGGAUGAGCAGCCACACUGGGACUGAGACACGGCCCAGACUCCUACGGGAGGCAGCAGUGGGGAAUUUUCCGCAAUGGGCGAAAGCCUGACGGAGCAAUACCGCGUGAGGGAGGAAGGCUCUUGGGUUGUAAACCUCAAAACUUAGGGAAGAAGAAAGUGACGGUACCUAAUAUAAGCAUCGGCUAACUCCGUGCCAGCCGCCGCGGUAAUAC